rnacentral:rRNA from 1 species
UGGGGAAUUUUGGACAAUGGGCGAAAGCCUGAUCCAGCAAUGCCGCGUGUGUGAAGAAGGCCUUCGGGUUGUAAAGCACUUUUGUCCGGAAAGAAAUCCUUGGCUCUAAUACAGUCGGGGGAUGACGGUACCGGAAGAAUAAGCACCGGCUAACUACGUGCCAGCAGCCGCGGUAAUACGUAGGGUGCAAGCGUUAAUCGGAAUUACUGGGCGUAAAGCGUGCGCAGGCGGUUUGCUAAGACCGAUGUGAAAUCCCCGGGCUCAACCUGGGAACUGCAUUGGUGACUGGCAGGCUAGAGUAUGGCAGAGGGGGGUAGAAUUCCACGUGUAGCAGCGAAAUGCGUAGAGAUGUGGAGGAAUACCGAUGGCGAAGGCAGCCCCCUGGGCCAAUACUGACGCUCAUGCACGAAAGCGUGGGGAGCAAACAGGAUUAGAUACCCUGGUAGUCCACGCCCUAAAACGAUGUCAACUAGUUGUUGGGGAUUCAUUUCCUUAGUAACGUAGCUAACGCGUGAAGUUGACCGCCUGGGGAGUACGGUCGCAAGAUUAAAACUCAAAGGAAUUGACGGGGUCAUAGCUGUUUCCU